rnacentral:rRNA from 1 species
AGGGUGUAAACGCUGCAGACUUGGUGUUGGAAGCCCUUUGGGGGCAUUCAGUGCCGGAGAGAAGUUGUUAAGUCUGCUACUUGGGGGAGUACGUCCGCAAGGAUGAAACUUAAAGGAAUUGGCGGGGGAGCACCGCAACGGGAGGAGCGUGCGGUUUAAUUGGAUUCAACACCGUAAAACUCACCAGGGAAGACUGUUACAUGAAAGCCGAGAUGAAGACUCUGCUAGAUUUUCAGAGAGGAGGUGCAUGGCGUCAGUGACU